ensembl:lncRNA
UCUCCCCUGUCUCUCUCCCUGUCCUCCCGUCCAGGCAGCUGCCGUCCCCAGUCCUCCCGCCUCUAAUUCCACUGGCCCUGGAGUUCCUGGGGCCACCGGCAAACAGCGGUUGGAGGAGUUCUUUCCUAGCCUGGUGUCCCCCUACCUUCUCAACCGCGACCUCCCGCAGGGACCUUCGUUCUCCAGCCACAGCGAAGGUGCUUCCUCAAGGCCCUUAGAUCCCAGGCUGAGGGGAUGGGACUUGUCCCAUGAGAGGAGCCAACAGAGCGGUCACACACAGACCCGGCCUGGGUCUGAAGUCCGGCUCCGUCACUAUCUCUGUGACUUGGGUCCUUUCUUAACCUCUCUGCGCCUCUAUUUCCUCUUCUGUAAAAUGGGCAUGCUGGCGUUCACGGUGCUCCUCUCAGAGGACUGAGUGAAGGAGAUACAGGAAGCUCUGAGAGCAGAGCCUGGCGCAUCUUAAGCGCUCGACAGACGCAAGCUAUUGUUGCCCCUCCCAGGCAAGAGGGGGCCAGCAGCAGCUUUGGGGAGCAGGGGUGAGAGCCUCAGAAUCACGGAAGAUGCCUGGAAGCACAGUCGAGUGGGGAGCGCUGGAGGGGGGCGUUCAGGGUCCUCACUCCUCAGAGUGCGGUCUAUGGACCAGCAGCGGCGGCUCCCUGGGAACAUGACAGAAAUGCAGACCUUCAGGCCCCAGCCAGACCUGCGGGCCCAGAACCUGCGCUUUAACCAGAUCCCAGGGGUCUGGGAGCCCAGUCAAGCUUGGGGAGCCUGCUGCCGGCUUAGGGAGGCCAGUUACGUGGUUCCUUAAGAAGUUCGGGUGAGAGAUUCUGGAAGGUCGACGGUGCUGGCUGGAAACGCAGGUCUAAGAUGCGCCGGAUCCCGUUUACCCCGCGUUGUGCUGGAUGCUUCAGCUCUCGGAACAACGCUGCCGCCUGCUUUCCAACGAGGAGAUAAAGCUCGGAGGGCUGUGUGACUUGCCCAGGUGCAAACACACCGGGCGGGAGCGCUGGGAGGGGGCCGGACCCAUCACGAACAGCAGGGCCCGGCCGCGGGGCUGGCAGAGGUAGGUUCGGAGGAAGCCAACAGCCCUCCGAGAAUGGUGGUCGUGUGAAGUGAAGGAAAGGAAGGGGGGAUAAACCAGAGGUCCUUGGCCUGCACGAUUGAAGAGAUGGACUGAAGACCCAGGAAUGAGACCCAGGAGGACGGCACGUGAGAUAAAAGAGAUGACGUGGGGCUCCUUCCACUUCCGCCAAGGUCAUCCUGUGCCUCAAAGUCAUCCCAGCAUAAGGGGAGGGAAUGGAGUAGAAGGAAAAGAACAAAGCGGAGAGAAAAUUACACUUAUCAACUCAGAUUCUUUCUGGUCGGUCCUCACAGCAAUCAUGUCCGAUAGGCGCUAGUGUGCUCACUUAACAGAUGAAACAAGACAUGGACCUCAAGUGGGAGAAGGGACUUGCCCAGAAUCACACGGUUAUGGGUCAUCGGUGACCCAGCUGGAGACCCCGUCUCUCCCCCUUCCUGACUUCCACUGUGCGGGGUGACUCGGCACUGCCCCACCCACACUCUGGGACACGAGCCUUAACUGCCGCCAGCAGGGGGAUGAGUGCGGGCAGAGAGCCACACUCUCCUGUGGCCAGGGGCAGCCUCGAGGGGCAGAGAGCGGAUUCUCUCUGUGGAUGUCCAGGGCAGGCUCACCCGAACCCCCUGUGCACUGCAGAAGGUCCACCCUCACCCCGACACCAGAGAAAAGACCUCUUGCUUCAGCGAACACGGAAAGGCAUGUUGAGUCUCAGCCCAGAUCUCGGCUGGGAAGACGGAAGCCCUGAGCAGCUCGCCGGGGUUACAGCAGGUGGCCACAGAGUGAGGACCAGAAACGGGGGCGGCUCACCCCAUCCCUCUUUCUGGAAUUACACUCGUGUGUCUGCCUGCUCAAGAGAACGUUAACUCAGCCAGCGGGUGCCCCUUUCCCCACUUUGGGGGCCUUGGAAUCUGUGCCAAUCUUGCAAGGAGGGGAGGGAGCUUCUGCAGCAGGGCAGGCCUCCCCCCGGGGUGGGGACCCUGUGGUAGCUGCUGAGGCCUGAGCCUGGCAGCCCCUCCAGCUGCCACCUGCCACCUCCCGAGGAUGGGAGCAGCCUACCAGAGAGG